rnacentral:misc_RNA from 1 species
GAUGAAGAACGCAGCGAAAUGCGAUACGUAAUGUGAAUUGCAGAAUUCAGUGAAUCAUCGAAUCUUUGAACGCAUAUUGCGCUCUCUGGUAUUCCGGAGAGCAUGCUUGUUUGAGUAUCAGUAAACACCUCAACUUCCAUAUCUUUUUUGAAAUGGGAGUUGGACUUGAGUGAUCCCAACGCUUUUCCUCACCGAAAAGUGGCGGGUUACUUGAAAUGCAGGUGCAGCUGGACUUUUCUCUGAGCUAUAAGCAUAUCUAUUUAGUCUGCCUAAAAAACAGAUUAUUACCUUUGCUGCAGCUAACAUAAAGGAGAUUAGUUCUUGUGCUGACUGAUGCAGGAUUCACAAAGACAGGCUUCGGCCGACUUUGUAAACUCGAUCUCAAAUCAAGUAAGACUACCCGCUGAACUUAAGCAUAUAAUAAGCGGAGGA